CUCCUUCUUAAGUUGCAAUAACAAUUUCUAGGGAUGUUUUUAAGGGAGUUAUUAAGGUUGAGUGGAGGAAUAAAGCUUGAGUGCAAGCUUUAAUGAAAGAUGGGCAAUGGUGAAAUGAAGAAGAAAGUGGGGCGGCAAGGAAGAUGGAAAAUGAGGUUUUUAAUUUUUUUUUUCUUUCUGUUUUCUUUUAUGUUUAUCCCCCUUUUUGAAGACCAAAAUUCCCUAAUUAAUAAAAUAAUUAAAUUAAACCUUUAUGACAUCAUACAUGAUGUCAUCCCUUUGACUUUUCCAACCUCUUUCCUUUUCUUUUUUUUUCUAUUUAUUU
rnacentral:misc_RNA from 1 species